rnacentral:rRNA from 1 species
UGAUCCUGGCUCAGAUUGAACGCUGGCGGCAGGCCUAACACAUGCAAGUCGAGCGGUAACAGAAAGUAGCUUGCUACUUUGCUGACGAGCGGCGGACGGGUGAGUAAUGCUUGGGAACAUGCCUUGAGGUGGGGGACAACAGUUGGAAACGACUGCUAAUACCGCAUAAUGUCUACGGACCAAAGGGGGCUUCGGCUCUCGCCUUUAGAUUGGCCCAAGUGGGAUUAGCUAGUUGGUGAGGUAAUGGCUCACCAAGGCAACGAUCCCUAGCUGGUUUGAGAGGAUGAUCAGCCACACUGGAACUGAGACACGGUCCAGACUCCUACGGGAGGCAGCAGUGGGGAAUAUUGCACAAUGGGCGAAAGCCUGAUGCAGCCAUGCCGCGUGUGUGAAGAAGGCCUUCGGGUUGUAAAGCACUUUCAGUCAGGAGGAAAGGGUGUGAGUUAAUACCUCACAUCUGUGACGUUACUGACAGAAGAAGCACCGGCUAACUCCGUGCCAGCAGCCGCGGUAAUACGGAGGGUGCGAGCGUUAAUCGGAAUUACUGGGCGUAAAGCGUACGCAGGCGGUUUGUUAAGCGAGAUGUGAAAGCCCCGGGCUCAACCUGGGAACUGCAUUUCGAACUGGCAAACUAGAGUGUGAUAGAGGGUGGUAGAAUUUCAGGUGUAGCGGUGAAAUGCGUAGAGAUCUGAAGGAAUACCGAUGGCGAAGGCAGCCACCUGGGUCAACACUGACGCUCAUGUACGAAAGCGUGGGGAGCAAACGGGAUUAGAUACCCCGGUAGU